CCUACGGGAGGCAGCAGUGAGGAAUAUUGGUCAAUGGACGAGAGUCUGAACCAGCCAAGUAGCGUGAAGGAUGACUGCCCUAUGGGUUGUAAACUUCUUUUAUAUGGGAAUAAACUGUUCCACGUGUGGGUUUUUGUAUGUACCUUAUGAAUAAGGAUCGGCUAACUCCGUGCCAGCAGCCGCGGUAAUCCGGAGGGUCCGAGCGUUAUCCGGAUUUAUUGGGUUUAAAGGGUGCGUAGGUGGGUUGUUAAGUCAGUUGUGAAAGUUUGCGGCUCAACCGUAAAAUUGCAGUUGAAACUGGCAGGCUAGAGUACAGUAGAGGUAGGCGGAAUUCGUGGUGUAGCGGUGAAAUGCAUAGAUAUCACGAAGAACACCGAUUGCGAAGGCAGUUCACUGGACUGCAACUGACACUGAGGCACGAAAGUGUGGGUAUCAAACAGGAUUAGAGACCCUAGUAGUC
rnacentral:rRNA from 1 species